ensembl:lncRNA
UUUUAACACAUCAUUGAUUAAAUCUAAAAUUGAUACGUUGGAAAAUUAUGCAAAAAAAAAUCAGUUACAUAAAUUAAGAAGAGAUAAAUUGUUUGAAGUUUUUAAAUUGUAAAUAGCUUUUUUUUUUUUUUUUAUUUUAUUUUUUUUUUUAAAUAGCAAAAUAAAAAUUCAAACAAAUGGAAUUAAUUUUUUUAUUUUCCUUGCUUAUCAGAUCUAAAACGGAAGAAGAUUAUAAAUUGUCGUUGCAUUUAUUAAAUGUAUAUUACAAUUUUGGAAGAAAUUUAAAUACCCAGCAAGAUGUUGAUUUAUUUUUUACAUCCAUUUUGAGGACAAAUCAACUAAAUGAAGCAAAAGAUGUAUUAUAAAUGCCUUAUAAAUAAAAAAAAAAAAAAAAAAAAGACAACAUCUUAUCAUGCAUCAUAUACAUAUAUAUGUAUGUAUAUAUAAUGAUAACUUCAAUAUAUUAUAUUAAUCGUCCAGAUUAAUAAAUAACACAUAUAUUUUGUUUUUUAUUUUAUUUUAUUUAAUUUAUUUUAUUUUUUUUUUUUUUUUAAGUUUUUGAAGUAUUUUAACGGGUGGUUAUUAUGUCCUCCUUCAAACAAAUUGAUUUUACUAUGUAUGGAGGAAUUUUUUCGAAAAAAAAAUUUUAUGAAGUCAGGGAAAUUUUUUCUUUUAUUAGACAGAAUAAGUUAUAAUUUAUUAAAAACAAAAAUUUAUCCAAAUGUGCUUUUUAAAUAUAUAUUUAUGUGAAAAACAGGAAAAGAAAUUAUAGUUUUAUUAUGUUCUAUACCCUUUUCUUUAUUCGGUUCUGCUUUUAUUCUGUUCUUGUCCUGAUUUGUUUUGAUUUGUUUUGAUUUGUUUUGAUUUGUUUUGAUUUGUCUUGAUUUGCCUUGAUUUAAUUUUUUUUUUUUUUUUGAUUUAAUUUUUUUUUUUUUUUUUUUGAAUAGCCAAAUAAAGUUAGAAAGUUCUUUUUAUUCCAUAACAAUAAAAUCCAUGCUGAUGAUAAAUAAAGACCCCAUAGAAGAAUCUAUGAUAAUAUAUGAUGAUUCUUAUAAUAUGGGCAUAUAUUUAACAAAUGAAAUACAUAAUUUAUUAUUAGAACAUAAUUUAUAUUACUAUCAUAAUGAGAAAAGCAAAAACAUAGAGAAUAAUAAAAAAUUGGAUUUUUAUAAAGAGAAUAUACAAGGAAUCAUUAUACGACUAACAAAUGAAUUAAUUAAAAAUAGGACAUACGUUAAGUUAUCGUCUAAGAGUUUGAGUUUGUUCGCAUGGGCAUACAUUUAUUUUGACAUAAAACAGAUAAUCGCAAAAUCUGAUAACAGAUUAGUUGAAGUUGAACAUUGUAACACUUGGUUAGACAUAAUAAAACUGGCAUGUUUGUACAACCAGAUAUCCGAAUGUCACACAAGCCCAUUUUCAGUAGAAUUUAAAGAUGUUCUUAGAAAUAUGAAGGAUGAUGAAAAUGCAGUUAAGGCCUUAGAAUAUAUUAGCAUUUACUUUUAGAAAAGAGAAGUAGGAUAUAACAAUAUUCUUGUUUUUUAUUUUUAAACUUGCAAUUUUGAAUAUAUAUACAUAAAAUAAUACCUUGUCUUUACAUUUUUAAAAUAAAUUAAAAAAUUAUACAUAUAAAUGCUUUCCA